rnacentral:rRNA from 1 species
GACGAACGCUGGCGGCGUGCUUAAUACAUGCAAGUAGGACGCAGUUGCGAACGGGUGAGUAACGCGUAGGUCACUGCCUCUUAGAGGGGGAUAACUAUUGGAAACGAAUGCUAAUACCGCAUACUAGUAGAUGGACCUGCGUUAUAUUAGCUAGUAGGUAGGGUAAUGGCGUACCUAGGCAACGAUACGUAGCCGGCCUGAGAGGGGGAUCGUCCAAAGUGGGACUGAGACACGGCCCAGACUCCUACGGGAGGCAGCAGUAGGGAAUCUUCGGCAAUGGGGGGAAGCCUGACCGAGCAACGCCGCGUGAGUGAAGAAGGUUUUCGGAUCGUAAAGCUCUGUUGUUAAGGAAGCGGUACUUAACCAGAAAGGGACGGCUAACUACGUGCCAGCAGCCGCGGUAAUAC